rnacentral:rRNA from 1 species
UAUUGGACAAUGGGGGCCACCCUGAUCCAGCCAUGCCGCGUGUGUGAAGAAGGUCUUCNGAUUGUNANGCACUUUAAGCUGGGAGNCCGGGCUGUAGGUUAAUGCGCUGAAGUUGUGACGUUACCAACACAAUAGGCCCGGGCUAACUCUGUGACAGCAGCCGCGGUAAUACAGAGGGUGGAAGCGUUAAUCGGAAUUACUGUGCGAAAAGCGAGCGUAGGUGUUUCAGUAAGAUGGGUGUGAAUUCCCCAGGCUUAACCUGGGAACUGCUUUCAUAACUGCUUAGCUAGAGUACGGUAGAGUGUAGUGGAAUUUCCUUUGUAGCGGUGAAAUGUGUAGGUAUAGGAAGGAACACCAGUGGCAAAGGCGACUACCUGGACUGUUACUGACACUGAGGUGCGAAAGCGUGGGGAGCAAAC